rnacentral:rRNA from 1 species
CAGCCGCCGCGGUAACACGGAGGGUGCGAGCGUUAAUCGGAAUUACUGGGCGUAAAGCGUACGCAGGCGGUUUGUUAAGUCAGAUGUGAAAUCCCCGAGCUUAACUCGGGAACUGCAUUUGAAACUGGCAAGCUAGAGUCUCGUAGAGGGGGGUAGAAUUCCAGGUGUAGCGGUGAAAUGCGUAGAGAUCUGGAGGAAUACCGGUGGCGAAGGCGGCCCCCUGGACGAAGACUGACGCUCAGGUACGAAAGCGUGGGGAGCAAACAGGAUUAGAUACCCGGGUAGUCCCUGUCUCUUAUAA